AUCUAACAAUAUAUAUAUAUAUAUAUAUAUAUAUAUUUAAAAAUAUAUAUAAUUUAUGAAAUUAAAUUUGUAAUAUUAAUGAACAUAUUUUGACUAAGACUAAGGAAAUAUUCAAUCAUAAUAAUAAUCUAAAUCAAUAACAAAUAACAAACAAUAUCUUGACAAGAUAUUUUCUAUAUAAAAAAAAUAACAUUUGACACCAAUGGUAAAGAUAUUAUAAGGUAAGGAAUUUAUUUUUAUAUUAUUUUGACUACAAACAGAGAAAUUAAGCUCAAGGAUAUUUUGAUAAAAAAUUUCCUUUUAUGCAAAUUUAUGUUAUUAUAUAUAUAACAACAUAAAUAAAAAUAAAAAACUAAACAAAAAUUAAGAAAAGUUCAUACAAAAUGGUUUCUCCAAAAACAUAUUGAUCGCAUUUGUUUUCACCAUUUUCUUGUAGUAUCCAAUGUUCAUUGCUACCCAUGUAUUUAAUUUCACUUGUUUACUUAAAUUUAUACUCCUUUAUUUAUCUAAUUAUAAUUUGUAACAUUCCAAUGAUUCUGAUUUUAUAUAGACUUUGACGUAAAACAAGACUACAAAAAAUGCUACCUUCCGUGUAAACAAACAUCCGAAGGAUGUGAGAGGUUUUGUGCAGCUAGAACAUUCAGUUGGUUGGCGAAUGUAUUUCUGAUUUAUGUUGUUGUAGGUCAAAAAGGCCAAAUUAACAUUAUUAAAGAUUAUACAUUUUGUACUAGUGUCAAGAGUGCUAAUAAAGAUCCAAAACAAUUAGCAAACUGAAGUUACUUUGAUAAAGAAAUCAUCUUUCCUUAAAAGAAAUAAAAAAUAUUAAUUCAACAUAUAAGAUAUUUAAAUGUAAAUUAUCAAAAUUACUAGUGAAACAAGUCCACAUGUACUAAUGGUGAAUUCAAUAAUUUUUUGGAUAACUAGAAUAUAUAUAUAUUUUUUUAUUUUGAUAUUUUUUGGCGCAUAACCUUUGAUUCUCUUCUUAAUCGAAUAAACACAAUUGGCUUUGAUAUGUUAUAUUUGUAAAGUAUAACAUUUUGCGAGUAUGGUUUUGAUAGCAAUCUUGUAGUUGAAACACCAUUAAUUCGUCCUCGAAGAAACAAUAUAUAUUGUCUUUGUACUUUACAUCAAAAUAUUAAAUGGAUUAGACAAAACAUAUAGUCAGGAUAUUUAUUGUUAAAAAUAGGUUUUUACUAAACCCAUAAUUAUUUAGAUGCAACUAAAAUAUUUUUUUUGUACUAAUACAUCUACCCGUGUAUCAUUUUUCACUCAAAUAUAAUAUCAAAAACUGAAUGAUUUAUUUGAUAAUAUAAAUGUAGUUCAUGUCAAUAAUUCCAUAUUUCUUACCUACUUUUUGUUGUAUAUUUUAAAUCUCAUAUUCAUUAUUGAAUAUGUAUUGAUAUUAGAAGGGCAAAUAAUAGUAAAAUAUAUGUUGAUAUUACAAGAGAAAAUGAUUUACAUCGUCUAAAUAUAUUAUGCAUGAUGUAUUUGGCUUAUGUUAAGCUGAAAAUAGUUAUAAGAAAAUUAAAACUCUAAAUAAAAUACGAAAGACACUCAAGAAUAACAAAAUUCCUAAUUAGUUAUAUUGCAAAUUAAUACAUUUAUUAUAAAACAUAAAAAAAAUUAAGUUCUAAGAGUUUAGUGAAAUAAAAAUAUUAACUUACAAGCAUGAAAACCUCAUAUGCCAAGUUCUUAUUUAAUACCUAUUGGAUUCAUCUAAUAAUAUAUAUAUUUAAAAAUAUAUAUAAUUUAUGAAAUUAAAUUUGUAAUAUUUAUUAACAUAUUUUGACUAAGACUAAGGCAAUAUUCAAUCAUAAUAAUAAUCUAAAUCAACAACAAAUAACAAACAAUAUCUUGACAAGAUAUUUUCUAUAUAAAAAAGAAUAACAUUUCACACCAAUGGUAAAGAUAUUAUAAGGUAAGGAAUUAAUUUUUAUAUUAUUUUGACUACAAUCCAAGAAAUUAAGCUCAAGGAUAUUUUGAUAAAAUUUUCCUUUUAUGCAAAUUUGUGUUAUUAUAUAUACAACAUCAUAAAUCAAAAUAAAACACUAAACAAAAAAUAAGAAAAGUUCAUACAAAAUGGGUUUCUCCAAAAACAUAUUGAUCGCAUUUGUUUUCACCAUUUUCUUCGUAGUAUCUAAUGUUCAUUGCUACCCAGACUUUGAAGUAAAACAAGACUACAAAAAAUGCUACCUUCCGUGUAAACAAAUAUCCGAAGGAUGUGAAAGUUUUUGUGCAGCUAAGAACAUUCAGUUGGUUGGCGAAUGUAUUUCUGAUUUAUGUUGUUGUAGGUCAAAAAGGCCAAAUUAACAUUAUUAAAGAUUAUACAUUUUGUACUAGUGUCAAGAGUGCUAAUAAAGAUCCAAAACAAUUAGCAAACUGAAGUUACUUUGAUAAAGAAAUCAUCUUUCCUUAAAAGAAAUAAAAAAUAUUAAUUCAA